UUAUUUUUUCUUUUUCUUUUUCUCUCUCCUCUCCUCUCCUCUUCUACCAAUCCUAGAUCUAUUGAGAUCAAACGAAAUCUACCAAAAACUCAGAAGCUACCUCCUCUAUACGCGUAUUUCAUAGAUCAGAUCUCAUAUUUCAGAAAUCAAACCCAAUCUUCACUAACCCGAAAUUCGUCUCCAUCCCUAGAUCGAUAUGUGAUUUUCUCCUUCAUAAACUCUAACUAUUCUCUGGUUGAAUUCUAUCCAACCCAAAGAGAUGAAAACAUUCCCAAGUAUCAUUUAUGAUCAAGAAAAACCUCAGUGAAAAGAGGAGACUAAGCAGACCCAUUCCUUAUUGGAUCCGUGCGAAACUGAUAACACCGUCAGUAUAUCUAUGCAUGAGCAUCUCUAGAAAUGGAAAAGAAGAUGGAAAGAAAUUGUUCUUGGGGUGUGAAGUGAUUAUCCCUUCAUAAUGAAGAAGGGUUGUACCACCAAAAGAUAUUUCCCUGGCAUCGGUGUUCGGCUUAGGAUAUGUAGUAGGGGUUCUCUUUGAGGAAUCUUUAGCAUUCAAUACAAGUGGAGUUGGAUUAUUGAUGGUUGUUCGCUUAUGGGUUAUCAGAAGCAUCAUGCUUAAUGGGGACAAAGGAUGUGGGAGACGCAACAACAUUAGCAAUCAUGGGUGUGGAUAAGCAGGCUAAGCCUUGGAAGGUCAGUUGCAACUGAUGUUGCCUGCAAGCUGUAACUUGAAAGUCACUUGCAGGGCGAGCAUAUAUCUACGAAGACCGUUUGAAGUUGCUGCAUUUGGAAAAGAGUACUACUGCCUG